rnacentral:rRNA from 1 species
CAGUCGCCACGGUAAUACAGAGGAUGCAAGCGUUAUCCGGAAUGAUUGGGUGUAAAGCGUCUGUAGGUGGCUUUUCAAGUCCGCCAUCAAAUCCCUGGGCUCAACCCUGGACAGGCAGUGGAAACUACCAAGCUGGAGUACGGUAGGGGCAGAGGGAAUUUCCGGUGGAGAGGUGAAAUGCGUUGAGAUUGGAAAGAACACCGAUGGUGAAAGCGCUCUGCUGGGCCGACACUGACACUGAGAGACGAAAUCUAGGGGAGCAAAUGGGAUUAGAUACCCGGGUAGUCCCUGUCUCUUAUAC